CCUACGGGAGGCUGCAGUGAGGAAUAUUGGUCAAUGGCCGGAAGGCUGAACCAGCCAUGCCGCGUGAAGGUCAGUGGGGACGAAACUUGACGGUACCCACAGAGGAAGCACCGGCUAACUCCGUGCCAGCAGCCGCGGUAAUACGGAGGGUGCAAGCGUUGUCCGGAAUCAUUGGGCGUAAAGAGUUCGUAGGUGGCAUAUUAAGUCUGGUGUUAAAUGCAGAAGCUCAACUUCUGUUCGGCACUGGAUACUGGUAAGCUUGAAUGCGGUAGAGGUAAAGGGAAUUCCUGGUGUAGCGGUGAAAUGCGUAGAUAUCAGGAGGAACAUCGGUGGCGUAAGCGCUUUACUGGGCCGUAAUUGACACUGAGGAACGAAAGCCGGGGUAGCAAAUGGGAUUAGAUACCCCUGUAGUC
rnacentral:rRNA from 1 species